rnacentral:rRNA from 1 species
GUCUACGGCCAUACCACCCGGAACGCGCCCGAUCUCGUCUGAUCUCGGAAGCUAAGCAGGGUCGGGCCUGGUUAGUACUUGGAUGGGAGGAAAGCACAUGCAAUACAAU